UGCCAAAAUUUUUCAAUUUUUUUAUGAAAUAAAAAAUGAGGAUAACCGACGGUCGACUAUAUUAUAUCCAAGUUAAAUAAUUUAAAACCCAAAAUAUCGGCCAUAUUUAUUGAAGCACCAUUGUCCCCAUAGCAACGGUAGUUGCGUUCCCAUUUUUUCGAAAACAUCCAACUCUGUAGUAAUUAUUUUUCUAACCGGACUUUCUUUGUCUUUUAACAUAUGGGAAUUGUGAAAAAAUUAACACGUUUUUGUCAACAAGGACGUCAGAUUGCCGAGGGGGACUGGAGUAAAAACUGUGUUUUUGUCAACCUCGUUCCCAGGCUCUUUGCUCUUGGGAAGCAAAGAGCCUGGGAACGAGGUUGUGUUUUUGUCAGUUUGUGGUAAUCUUCAACACGUAUGACAAAACAUAAGAUUUUUAAAGUUUUCUGCUUCCUCACACGAGCGCUAUGAUGCAAAAUGCCGCCAAAAUUACACAUACCAAUUUCGCCCGCGCGUCUCUCCUCCGCCCGAUUUUCACCUUUUAGCGCAAGGCGGAAAAAAUAAAAGCCUGACAUUCAGGUUAAUAUUCGAGUGACGUCCGUAUGGACAAAAACGUCGCUUGCCCAGUG